GAUUCAUAAUAACUUCUCGAAUCGCAUGGCCUUGUUGCGGGCGAUGCUUCAUUCAAAUAUCUGCCUAUCAACUUUCGACGGUAGGGAUAGAGGCCUACCAUGGUUUCAACGGGUAACGGGGAAUAAGGGUUCGAUUCCGGAGAGGGAGCCUGAGAAACGGUUACCACAUCCAAGGAAGGCAGCAGGCGCGCAAAAUUACCCAAUCCCGACACGGGGAGGUAGUGACAAUAAAUAACAAUAUAGGGCUCUUUUGGGUCUUAUAAUUGGAAUGAGUACAAUUUAAAUCCCUUAACGAGGAACAAUUGGAGGGCAAGUCUGGUGCCAGCAAGCCGGGUAAUUCCAGCUCCAAUAGCGUAUAUCAAAGUUGUUGCAGUUAAAAAGCUCGUAGUUGAACUUCGAACGUGGCUGGGCGGUCCGCCUCACGGUGUGUACUGUCUGGCCGUGUCUCUUUCUUGGUGAGCCAGCAUGCCCUUUCACUGGGUGUGUGGGGAACCAAGGACCGGUUUACCUUGAGAAAAAUUAGAGUGUCACAGGCAGGCAAAUGCCCGAAUACAUUAGCAUGGAUAAUGGAAUAGGACGUGCGGUCUAUCGGGUUCUAGAGUCGCCGUAAUGAUUAAUAGGGACAAGUUGGGG
rnacentral:rRNA from 1 species